rnacentral:misc_RNA from 1 species
UGGUUGCUUCGGCUGAAAGGAAAAUACUUGUAGAAAUCUUUUUCAGAAAAUUGUACCGCAAGACGAUACGUACU